UGCGGAAGGAUCAUUACCUAGAGUUUGUAGACUUCGGUCUGCUACCUCUUACCCAUGUCUUUUGAGUACCUUCGUUUCCUCGGCGGGUCCGCCCGCCGAUUGGACAACAUUCAAACCCUUUGCAGUUGCAAUCAGCGUCUGAAAAAACAUAAUAGUUACAACUUUCAACAACGGAUCUCUUGGUUCUGGCAUCGAUGAAGAACGCAGCGAAAUGCGAUAAGUAGUGUGAAUUGCAGAAUUCAGUGAAUCAUCGAAUCUUUGAACGCACAUUGCGCCCCUUGGUAUUCCAUGGGGCAUGCCUGUUCGAGCGUCAUUUGUACCUUCAAGCUCUGCUUGGUGUUGGGUGUUUGUCUCGCCUCUGCGUGUAGACUCGCCUUAAAACAAUUGGCAGCCGGCGUAUUGAUUUCGGAGCGCAGUACAUCUCGCGCUUUGCACUCAUAACGACGACGUCCAAAAGUACAUUUUUACACUCUUGACCUCGGAUCAGGUAGGGAUACCCGCUGAACUUAAGCAUAUCA
rnacentral:rRNA from 1 species